AACAGAGAAGAGAAGAAAGAAAAGAAAGAAAAGAAAGAAAAGAAAGAAGAAAGAAAAGAAGAAUGGAAAGAAGAAAGGAAAGAGAGGGAGAGAAAGUGCAGUAGCUUCUCUUUGUUGCUGUCACUAUGCAUGCAUGCACUUCGGUGCUGUUCGCAACAAGAAGAUGUUGCCAAGGUGCUCCUCCAGCUGAGAAGUAAAGUUCAGAACCAUGUAGCUGCAAGUAGAGCUGCAUGCACAACCCAAGAACACAAGAAAGGUGUUGAAGUUGAAGCAGAGAUGGUCGGGUGAUUGGUUUGGAUAUGGAGAUACAUGUAUGAAGUGCUUGUAGAAAAGGCUUUUGUAGUACAUUAAGUAUUCUAAUGCAAAUAAGGGUAAGAUGUAUAAAUAUUUAUAAUAACCUGUGAAAUUAUUUAAUGGACCUAUAAUAUUGUAUAAGUACCAUUGUAGUUGAUCAUCACGUGUAUCUUUUAAUUUAAUGAUUUUUUUUUAUGUA